UACGAAGGGGGCGAGCGUUGUUCGGAUUUACUGGGCGUAAAGGGCGCGCAGGCGGUUUUGGAAGUCAGGCGUGAAAGCCCCGGGCUUAACCUGGGAAUUGCGUUUGAUACUCUGAGACUAGAGUGUGGGAGAGGAUAGUGGAAUUCCCAGUGUAGAGGUGAAAUUCGUAGAUAUUGGGAAGAACACCGGUGGCGAAGGCGGCUAUCUGGACCACAACUGACGCUGAGGCGCGAAAGCGUGGGGAGCAAACAGG
rnacentral:rRNA from 1 species